UACGGAGGAUGCGAGCGUUAUCCGGAUUUAUUGGGUUUAAAGGGUGCGUAGGCGGACUGUCAAGUCAGCGGUAAAAUUGAGAGGCUCAACCUCUUCCCGCCGUUGAAACUGGUGGUCUUGAGUGGAUGAGAAGUACGCGGAAUGCGUGGUGUAGCGGUGAAAUGCAUAGAUAUCACGCAGAACUCCGAUUGCGAAGGCAGCGUACCGGCAUCCAACUGACGCUGAGGCACGAAAGCGUGGGUAGCAAACAGG
rnacentral:rRNA from 1 species